rnacentral:rRNA from 1 species
UAGGGAAUAUUGGACAAUGGGGGCAACCCUGAUCCAGCAAUGCCGCGUGAGUGAUGAAGGCCUUAGGGUUGUAAAGCUCUUUUACCAGAGAUGAUAAUGACAGUAUCUGGGGAAUAAGCCCCGGCUAACUCCGUGCCAGCAGCCGCGGUAAUACGGAGGGGGCUAGCGUUGUUCGGAAUUACUGGGCGUAAAGCGCACGUAGGCGGCGAUUUAAGUCAGAGGUGAAAGCCCGGGGCUCAACCCCGGAACUGCCUUUGAGACUGGAUUGCUUGAAUCCGGGAGAGGUGAGUGGAAUUCCGAGUGUAGAGGUGAAAUUCGUAGAUAUUCGGAAGAACACCAGUGGCGAAGGCGGCUCACUGGACCGGCAUUGACGCUGAGGUGCGAAAGCGUGGGGAGCAAACA